rnacentral:rRNA from 1 species
GCAGCCGCGGUAAUACGUAGGUGGCGAGCGUUGUCCGGAUUUACUGGGCGUAAAGGGAGCGUAGGCGGACUUUUAAGUGAGAUGUGAAAUACCCGGGCUCAACUUGGGUGCUGCAUUUCAAACUGGAAGUCUAGAGUGCAGGAGAGGAGAAUGGAAUUCCUAGUGUAGCGGUGAAAUGCGUAGAGAUUAGGAAGAACACCAGUGGCGAAGGCGAUUCUCUGGACUGUAACUGACGCUGAGGCUCGAAAGCGUGGGGAGCAAACAGGAUUAGAUACCCU